rnacentral:rRNA from 1 species
GAUGAACGCUGGCGGCGUGCCUAAUACAUGCAAGUCGAGCGAACAGAUGAGGAGCUUGCUCCUCUGACGUUAGCGGCGGACGGGUGAGUAACACGUGGAUAACCUACCUAUAAGACUGGGAUAACUUCGGGAAACCGGAGCUAAUACCGGAUAAUAUAUUGAACCGCAUGGUUCAAUAGUGAAAGACGGUUUUGCUGUCACUUAUAGAUGGAUCCGCGCCGCAUUAGCUAGUUGGUAAGGUAACGGCUUACCAAGGCAACGAUGCGUAGCCGACCUGAGAGGGUGAUCGGCCACACUGGAACUGGGACACGGUCCAGACUCCUGCGGGAGGCAGCAGUAGGGAAUCUUCCGUAAUGGGCGAAAGCCUGACGGAGCAACGCCGCGUGAGUGAUGAAGGUCUUCGGAUCGUAAAACUCUGUUAUUAGGGAAGAACAAAUGUGUAAGUAACUAUGCACGUCUUGACGGUACCUAAUCAGAAAGCCACGGCUAACUACGUG